UGUGCGCGCCGUUCAAAUGAAGCCGUCAUGAUUGCUUGAAGGAUUUAUGUGCUGUAAGCGCGGCGGGCGCUUUCUGCCGAUCAAGCGCAGCCUUGGUGUUAUUAUGGCUUCACAUCUCGGAUUAUUUGGACUCUCUGGCGACGUGUUCUGUCUUAUCAUGUUGUGCUCUACGGCUGUUGAUUGUGUACCCUCGGAGAGUACCUACGUUAGGUAUCGAAAACGUGAAUAUCUGGGGCUCAAGGAUGUGUACUGUCCCAGCAACAGUCUACAAGCGUCAUCGGAGUGGGCGGAAUUCUUUGGCGAAGGCUGCGAAGGCCGAAAGUGUCUUCGAUCUUCAGGCGGUGUCACCAGCGUCGCCUUCUUCCGGUGCAGGAAAGGCGUUGAGCGUCGUACCCUUCGCUGCCGAGCUCCGGAAGAAACAGUGUUUCCUCAGUGUUGCCUACCAUUAUGCAAUGACCCUUCAUAUACUGAUGAAUUAUAUAUGUACUAGUUACCUAUA